rnacentral:rRNA from 1 species
UUAAAUUGAAGAGUUUGAUCAUGGCUCAGAUUGAACGCUGGCGGCAGGCCUAACACAUGCAAGUCGAACGGUAACAGGAAGAAGCUUGCUUCUUUGCUGACGAGUGGCGGACGGGUGAGUAAUGUCUGGGAAACUGCCUGAUGGAGGGGGAUAACUACUGGAAACGGUAGCUAAUACCGCAUAACGUCGCAAGACCAAAGAGGGGGACCUUCGGGCCU